GAUGAACGCUGGCGGCGUGCUUAACACAUGCAAGUCGAACGAAGCACUUUAUUUGAUUUCCUUCGGGACUGAUUAUUUUGUGACUGAGUGGCGGACGGGUGAGUAACGCGUGGGUAACCUGCCUUGUACAGGGGGAUAACAGUUGGAAACGGCUGCUAAUACCGCAUAAGCGCACAGCAUCGCAUGAUGCAGUGUGAAAAACUCCGGUGGUAUAAGAUGGACCCGCGUUGGAUUAGCUAGUUGGUGAGGUAACGGCCCACCAAGGCGACGAUCCAUAGCCGACCUGAGAGGGUGACCGGCCACAUUGGGACUGAGACACGGCCCAAACUCCUACGGGAGGCAGCAGUGGGGAAUAUUGCACAAUGGGCGAAAGCCUGAUGCAGCGACGCCGCGUGAGCGAAGAAGUAUUUCGGUAUGUAAAGCU
rnacentral:rRNA from 1 species